UACGGGGGGGGCAAGCGUUGUUCGGAAUUACUGGGCGUAAAGGGCUCGUAGGCGGCCAACUAAGUCAUACGUGAAAUCCCUCGGCUUAACCCGGGGAACUGCGUCUGAUACUGGAUGGCUUGAGUUCGGGAGAGGGAUGCGAAGAUUCCAGGUGUAGCGGUGAAAUGCGUAGAUAUCUGGAGGAACACCGGUGGCGAAGGCGGCAUCCUGGACCG
rnacentral:rRNA from 1 species